rnacentral:rRNA from 1 species
UACAGAGGGGGCAAGCGUUGUUCGGAAUUACUGGGCGUAAGGGCGCGUAGGCGGCCUCUUAAGUCGAACGUGAAAUCCCCGGGCUCAACCCGGGAACUGCGUCCGAUACUGGGAGGCUUGAAUCCGGGAGAGGGAUGUGGAAUUCCAGGUGUAGCGGUGAAAUGCGUAGAUAUCUGGAGGAACACCGGUGGCGAAGGCGGCAUCCUGGACCGGUAUUGACGCUGAGGCGCGAAAGCUAGGGGAGCAAACGGG